GAGACGCGCUGAUGCAGGUGCAUAAAAAUUAAACUACGCGACCCAUUAAUCCGUUUUAGUCAGAAAAUGAAAAAGAAGAUAGUGUUUUGAGAGGAAUUCAGCAAGACGUUGUUUAAUAAAUGUAUUUUAGAAGCAGCGGAAACAGUCAGGCUGCAUAGCGUGGACUCACCUGUUUGGAAGAAUCCAUGUGAACUUGGAGGCCUCUGGAGAACUGAGACUGUUGGAGCAGAGACACCUAAAACGGCAGGACAGGAGCUGGACAUCCAUGGCUUUUACAAUUGUGCAGAGGACAACUGACUUGAAAAUGUUACAGCAGAAACAUCUCCACAUGGAGGGUUUGACACGGCUCUUAUGCUGCCGCGCUGGCUCCUCAGACCGCCACCCCCAGCCCCCCUGCACACCAGCCCCCCAUGGCACGGGGCAUGUAAUCAUCCUGAAAGUCUCUCUGGGUGUCUGCACUCUCAUAAAGCAGGAAAAUGGAUCGUGUGGCCCAGGAAGGACGGCAUCCUCGAUGGUUCCAAUUUCCAGCCCAUUCCCCAGUUUUCAACCCCUAUGACAGACAACACACACUAGAACGGCUGUUCAGCCGGGGAAGGGACUCGUUUCACUUCCUGCGCUACCCAAAAGAAGGGACACAGACCGGCGAUGCAGAGCCUGCUCGGACAGGGGGGAAAGGAGAGACGGGAGAUAGAGGAAGAAAGACGAAACAAGAUGCAACCUGAUGGGGCUGCAGAAAAGCAAGCAAAAUAGACAAGGAAGAAAAAAACAAAAAGCAAAGUAGUGGUUGAAAUCUCCAGCUUGAUCUAAGGUGCAGAGACGUGAAGGCACACAGGUCCUUUAUCCAACUAAUAUAAGACGCAACAUGUGAUUUCACAAAGGAAAUGAAAGGAUUUCUGACCUGACUUUCUCGUGCCGGCUUAGUUGUUCUCAGGUAAACUGCGGCACAACAGACUGAACGCAAGUCAUAAAUGCAAUAACACAUAACUCAAUCACUGCAGCGAUGUUAUCAAAAGACACAAUUUGGCAAUGCUGGUUUCCCCUAAAUCAAAUCAAACUGCAGGACUGAACAACUGAAUUAACAAUUGCCAAGAUACACCUGAAUUCACACGGAGUGUUCUUUGUUUUCUUUUUUUUUUCAUCAGUGUGCUGUAACUGUGUUCCCCUAGAAAUUGUCCACACUUUUUUUUUUUUUUGUUAAACAUCCAGAGUCAGGGAUUUAUAUACUGUUGUGACAAGAGGUUUAAAACUAAUGAUGUGCCAAGAAACUAUCUGGUGACCUGGUUCAUUUUGAGAAGCCAUGUCAGGUGUGCAGCUGGUUGGAAACUUUCAGUGAACGCAACACACCGAAGUACCUUCAGGAGGCAUAAACAACAACAAUCUUUACUGUGGGUGUUGCCACUGAAAGAAGACUAAAAGUUGAGAAUUUUUGGAAAAACAAAAGGUACAAGAGGCUAUUUAAAAGGAAAAGGAGGAUGUGUCAGCUGGUAAUUUUGGUGGCAUAUAAUGAAGCUUUAUAACUAGAAAAAAUUAGUUUCUAUAUCUUUUUGAGCUUUUAACUUGUCUAACAAUCCUAAGCGUAUGGUAAGGAUCUGCAUUCUUUUGGGAAUACACUCAGAAAAGGUGUUGUUAAUGCUAAAAUAUUAGCAGGUUAGCAUGCUAACAAAGAAAACAUAGGAUUUUAAUAACUAAUUGAAAUGACAACUCUGUCUAAUGCCACACAGUCUUCUUAACAUCUCUAACCAUUUAAGAAAUGGAAAGUGAUCAUAAAGUCUGAGUGGUUGGUCUCUUUAAAAAAAAAAAAAAAAAGAAGUCUUUGUUAGACUGCUUUAUCAGAUGUACUAUGUCUUCUGUCUACUGACUUCCGCAUCUAUAAAUCUUAUAAAAAAUGUAGAUUUGUUGACAAUGUAGACCUUGUCAGUUCCUGAGAGGUUUCAAGUCGAACUCUUGUUACAACCUGUCUUGCCAAAAGGCUUCCCUUCAGCUUGAUCCCACUCCUCUGUGUUCUCUUCUAUAUCUGUUUCCAUAUUUUCCCAAGGGUUUUUUUUUUUUUUUUACUUUACUCUUUCUUUGCUAUUAAUACUUAGCUUUAGAUUUACAGUAGGGCGCAUAUUGAGAAUCUACAAUAAGUCUUUCCAGUGGGAUAUUCAUUUAUUUAUUUUUCAGUGUUUAGUUGAGUGUUUGGUUCUGUGUUUAGAUGCAACACUUUCAAAGUUGUAUAGCUGACAAUUACAUUACGUGCCCAACAACAGAAGGAUUUGUUUGCUUUUUCUAGAUAAGACCCUCAAUAUAUUUUACCACAGCAUCCAGGAGUGUCUUUGAUUUCAUUUCCAUGCAAUGGAAAUGCAUGCAUGGAGUCAUACAGACAUAUAAAUGUCAUGACUGAUAAGAUCAAAUUCCCUUUUCUAGUAAAAUCCAAGAAAUCUGUUUUGUGUUAGCCAACAGAUGACAUGACAUUUAUUACCAUUUUCCAGCACAGUCGCAAACGUCUCACGAGGCCGGCUACUGAAGCAGUUACACACACAGUAAACUGCUUAGAAGAUGUACAAGGGAAUGAUGCGCAGAACUGGCAAUAUGAAUGUGAAUUCCCUUGGAAGGCAACUUUGCACGCACACACAUGCAUAGAGGAGAACGUGAGAAAUGGGCAAAAAGCCACACUAUUCAAUGUGAACUGGAGGGUCCAAGUCGCUAAACUAAUCCUCGUACCACAAGAUCCCACUUUCAGCCAAGUCUUUUGCUGCAGCUGCCUGGGAUCAUUUCACAAACACAAGGUAUUCCUGGAAGAAUUGAUUCUGUUAGAUAGUACAUUGAUCACACACAUCGCCUGCGGACAGAAGAUGGCUUUACAAGCAAUAAGAUGGGAGACAAUUAUAUUAUUUUAGUGAAAUAAGACAGAGUACAAGCAGUGAGUGCCAAUAGCCCAGGCUGGGGAGGGGAGGUACGGGCGGGCCCCCUUUGUGGCUGCCUCGGUGUGUUUGUGCUCCAUCCUCAAGUGGCACGAUAAUCCACUAAACUUUCCUGCUCCCUGCUCCUCUCAAUGCAAUCAGGAUGCGAAGGCUCACCAGUGAUUGCGUUCAUUUGUAAAAGCAUCCAAGCCAAAAUUGAACCCCAAGGCUGAUAAACUAUAAAGAUGCUGAUCAGAUCGCGGCUAAGGAGUCCACACUUGAGGGCACAAGUGUCAGGGCUGGAGCCAAAAGAGCAAUGACUCUGUAUACCUCACUCAGAGCCGGGCGACUGCCUCGGAAUACAAACAAGAGAGGAGAAAACACAGAAAAACGACAGCGGAAGGCAGCAGGAUUUUUCAUCAGGCUGCAUCUUUCAGAGGCUGGAAGUGUGAUCUGUUUGGUGGAUUUUCAGUUUUUAAAUGCUGUUUUAUGCACUCUUUGGAAAAAUGGGGAGCAUUUAUGUUGCCUUGGAAAAGAAUACAAAUGCCAUGAACUUUUCAAUGCGUUUUAUGUGACAAAUCAAUUCAAAGUAGCAUGCAGUUAUGAAGAGGAAGGAAAAACAAUCAUGUUUAUCAAAUCAAAAAAGAAUAUAAAAAGUGUUGCAUAUGUAUUCAUCCCUCUUUAAUUUGAUACCCAAAUUAAAACUGGCCUUCAGCUCAACUAAUUAGGAAAUAGUUUCCACCUUAGAGUAAAGUAACUUCACUGUAAAAACAACGGCUUUGUCUAGGCCUUGUUAGAGAAUGUUGGACAGCAACAUAAAUACCAAUGAAUACAGGUUAGUUAGUAGAAAUUAAAAUAUUAGUUAAAAAGAAAACCUACAGGUUUCAUGCAGAGGACACAACAAACAUCUGGGAAGAAGGUGAUCAUCUUAGAUGAGACCAAAACCUUUUUUUUUUUUUUUUUUCUAGCAUAGCAUGCAAAGAUAUGUCUAGUGGAAAAAGUUGAACUGAACGUUACCCAGAACACAACAUGGCUACAUUGAAACAUGGUGGUGGCAGCAUUGUGCAGUAGGGAAACAAGAGCUAAAUACAGGAAUAAUCCUAAGGAAAAAAAAAAACCUGUUAGAAGUUGUGAACAACCUAAGACUGGAGCAGAGGUUCAACUUUCAUUAAGAGAACAAUGCUCAACAUAUAGCCAGAGCCGAAAUACAAAUCAUUUACAUAAAAUAAGUAUUAAACUGAGUCUGUGGUAAGACUAGAAGACUGGUGCUUACAUCUCCUCCUGCUCCGAUCUACCUAACUGAAGAAUGUGUAGCAAAUUGGAAUAUUGUAGCUAUUG